ACGCUCGACACCUACGGGAGACAGCAGUGAGGAAUAUUGGUCAAUGGGCGCUAGCCUGAACCAGCCAAGUAGCGUGAAGGAUGAAGGCUCUAUGGGUCGUAAACUUCUUUUAUAUAAGAAUAAAGUGCAGUAUGUAUACUGUUUUGUAUGUAUUAUAUGAAUAAGGAUCGGCUAACUCCGUGCCUGCAGCCGCGGUAAUCUGAGCGGGCUGGCAAGGC
rnacentral:rRNA from 1 species